rnacentral:rRNA from 1 species
AGUGAACGCUGGCGGUAGGCCUAACACAUGCAAGUCGAACGGCAGCACAGUAAGAGCUUGCUCUUACGGGUGGCGAGUGGCGGCCGGGUGAGGAAUACAUCGGAAUCUACUUUUUCGUGGGGGAUAACGUAGGGAAACUUACGCUAAUACCGCAUACGACCUACGGGUGAAAGCAGGGGAUCUUCGGACCUUGCGCGAUUGAAUGAGCCGAUGUCGGAUUAGCUAGUUGGCGGAGUAAAGGCCCACCCAGGCGACGGUCCGUAGCUGGUCUGAGAGGAUGAUCAGCCACACUGGAACUGAGACACGGUCCAGACUCCUACGGGAGGCAGCAGUGGGGAAUAUUGGACAAUGGGCGCAAGCCUGAUCCAGCCAUACCGCGUGGGUGAAGAAGGCCUUCGGGUUGUAAAGCCCUUUUGUUGGGAAAGAAAAGCAGCAGGUUAAUACCCCGCUGUUCUGACGGUACCCAAAGAAUAAGCACCGGCUAACUUCGUG